rnacentral:sRNA from 1 species
AGGUGCCAGCCACCACGCCUGGCUAAUUUUUUUGCAUUUUUUAGUAGAGAUGGGGUUUCAUCGUGUUAACCAGGAUGGUCUUGAUCUCCUGACCUCAUGAUCCACCCACCUUGGCCUCCCAGAGUGCUGGGAUUACAGGCAUGAUUUAGUAGGUGGUUUUGAGUAGGGAGUAUACAUUUAAAAUGCUGAAACUCAGUUAAGGAAUAAUCUAAUACUGUAUUCAACUGAAACUCAGUUGAGAAAUUUCUUUCCAAUAAAAAGGAAAAUCAACUGCAGUAAUGAGGGAGAUGAUUUUGCUGAUAAUUACAACAAAUAUUUACUACAGACCUGUUAUGCACCAUGAACUGUGCUAAAUGUUUUAUACAUAUAACUUUAUCUUGUGCUCCAACAACCUAUUACAUGGAAAUUGCUAUUAUUCUCAUUUUCUAGAUUAAUAAAUUGGUUUAGAGGGGUCGUAUAGGUGAAACAACUCACUCAAUAUCACAAGCUGUUAUGUGGUGAAGUUUGCAUGAUCAGUACAGGGUUCUGGUCGUCCCACUCAUUGAGUGGUGCUAGUCAAGAUCUGGAAGCUCUUCUGGUCUUAGUUUCUCUAGCUGUGAAGUGACAAUGAUUAGGUCUAAUCAUAGAACAUGAGAGUACAUGUGAAAAAAUGCCUUUUUAAAGAGUAUGAAAAACUUGAGUUGUAAAAUUUUCUUGUGAAUAAUUUAUUAUUGCUUUUCUUUUUUAGAUAACACUAACAAAGUUGACCUUAGAAUUGGAGUGCCUGGGUUAGAACCCUGCUGGUACCACCUGCUUACUGUAAGACUUUGGUCAAGUUAUUAACUUUUCUGUUCCUCAUUUGUGAAAUAUUGUGAAAAAUAGUCUGUUUGCCUGUCUGAGAACAGUACUGGCACAAAAGUGCUUAAUACACUUCACUCAUUAUUAUUAAUAUUACUAUUGUUGCAUUUUCCCCUUGAAGGCAUGCUUCUGAUGUGAGUUCAGGAGAAGACACUGGCAAGGACAGCAAAGAACAGGAGAACACUCUAGCUUCCCUGAUAGCAUUCAAGGUGCUGUCCAAAGCUCUUGAGUUUCUGCUUUCAAGUGACCCUCAGAAAUUCCCCCAUUCACUGCAGAGGUUCUGUUUCUCCUUGCUUUGUUCUGACUUUACGGCAGAACUAAGCUGAUGAGUUAGUUACUAUGGGUUAUCACUUGGAUUUGAAGAACCAUCAUUUCUAGGCAUUGCUGCUCAGAGUGGGUCUGCCCUCAGGGGAAGCUGUCUAACCAGAGCCUAACCCACUAGGGUUUUAUCAGAACCUAACUGACCUGAGGAAAAGAAAUAUUCAACUCCAGCAAGCUCCAGCCUUCCAAAUGGAGGAGAAGAAAACCCAACUCCAGCCCACUUCAGCUAUCUUGUCCCACAUAAAGGGGAAGUGGAAGAAACCUGAGAAGCAGGCAUGAAGUUCACAGUCCAGAGACCUUGCCAUCGUAUCCCUUUUUGGAGACACAAGCCAGGAAGGAAGCUCUUCAGUGCAGCUGUGAAUAGAGAAAUGCUGGCUGAGGUUUUGGAGACACUGGGUGAUCAUUCCCAGUGAAAUUUUUAGAUCCCUGGGGACAUGAGCUGCUUUGUCUUUUCCAAGGACAGCAGACAGAGCAUGAAUGAGACCCCCAAAGAAGGGAAGCAAAUGAGACAAGCCCCACAAUUAUUCUGGCUUUUGCCUAGAGACAAUCUAUGAACUGUGGGGCAAACAACAAAGAUCAAAACAGCUUGGCAAUCUGAGUUGAGGAUGAAGACACCAUUAGGGGCAGAAGUAGCGAUAGCUCAAAUUUGUGGAGCAAAGUACCAGAGAAGAUAAACUGCUCCAAAUUCCAUAAGGCUGGGCAAGGAAAAACUUUGUGGAAAGAAGAAUUAUCAGGGAACCCUAAGCUGAAAAAUUGCCAGGGCUCACACAGACCUGGGGAAUUGGUUGAGUUUAUGCCACCUACAGGAUAGAGAACUUGCUGAAUGUUCAAGGAUUUUGUUACAGAUGCAAGAUGACACUUAAAGGGAUGCAAAACUAACAUCUCUGGAUUAGUCUUAAUAAAGUUUAAAAAUAAGCUUAGAAAAAGUCAAA